rnacentral:tmRNA from 1 species
GGGACUGAUUAGGUUUCUACGUAAUAAUUAUAUGUAUUAAUUUUAGUUAUUUCAUUAGAUAUCAUAUGAAGAUCAUUUCAUUCAAAUUAAUAGCAAAAAAUAAUAUUAUCAAUUUAUCUAAAAAUUUAGUUAUUGCAUAAAUUUUUAGUCUAUUAAAUAAUAUUUUAUUCAUUAUUUGAUAUAUACAUAUAAUGCUCUUAAAAAAUAUAUUGAUUGCUAUAUUACAUUAAUAAUUAAUAUUUUUUUUAAGUAAAGUUUAUUUUUUUAUUUUAGUCUGAUUGAUUAACUAUAAUAAAUUAUUACUUCUUUUUAUUACGGACGUGGGUUCGAUUCCCACCAGUUCCA